AAAAGAUGGAGAUUCUAUGGUUAGGUCAACCUUAAUCGAGAGGAAUUGACUUGCGCUUAAAUUUCGGGACGAAAUUUCUUUAAGGAGGGUAGAUUGUAAUACCCGAAAAAUUCAAAUUAACGUCCGAUGUCAUUUUGGAAAUGAUUUCGUAGGCGUGGGCACGAAUACGAAGCUUGAAGGAGUUGUGGAAUUAGUUCGAACGAUUUUAUUUCGAAAACGAACGUUAUUUAGGGGGUCUUAAAAAGUGACUUCUUAUACGUACAGAAUUUGGGAAAACUUUCUUCAUGAAAGUUGUAGAGCUCGUCGAUACGAUCUCGUGCGUAUGUUGAACGCAAUAUUCGGAGUUUGUAUGAAUAAGUUAUGAAUAUUUGAAAAUCAGGAUUUUUUUUCUAUAAAUAUGGAGAAUUUCUGGAAUUUUUCUUAAAUCCCAAAAUUUCCUAUUUCUUUCUAUUUUCUCCCCCGGUUUUCUCUCUUCUCUCUCCUCUCCCCCGACCUUUUUCUCUUCUUUCUGGGCGUUCUUCCUCUGCCAGCAGCGCCACCGUCCGGCCACCUCAAGCCGCUCUCGAGGUGUCCACGGCUUCGCCUCGACGUCGUCUAGCUACUGGACGUGACCACUUUCCCCGGAACGGCCUCAAAUCCGGCAAACCGGAGCUGCAAGGUUUGAGCCAAAAACAGUCAACGCCGGUUUUCUCCUAAUUCCGGCCACCAAAACUCACGAUCCUUAGCUCCCUGAACUCACCUCAACAUGCCGAUCAUCAUCCUAGAAGGAUCGCACUUGGAGUGACCGGAUUCACGUUCGUCGGAGCUCGGCCGGCUUUAAUUCGAAAACCACCUUCGAAUCCGAUUUUCUCGAGUUAUAGACCACCUUUUCUUGUGAUUCUUGGCCUGGUGAGUUCACCUUGAGAUUAUUAACAACUCUCAAGAAGGGAUCGAGGCCUGAGGUUGAAGUUUUUACGUCGGAAUUCAAGCUCGCCGGAUUCUGGAAAAUUUCCGACCACGAAGACUUUCGAUCAAGAUAUCUCGAGCUGUAGUGCAUCGUUUUGAUUGAUUCUUUUUCCAGUGGGUUCCCCUUGAUGUUGUUAACAACUCUCUAGAAGGCAUCGAGGCCUGAAAUUGAAGCUUUGACGUCGAAAUCGAGCCUUGCCGGAUUCUGCAAAAUUCUGGAAUUUUUCCGACCACCGAAGCUUUCGAUCGGUAUAUCUCGAGCUACAGACCAUAUUUUUCUGUGAUUCUUGAACCAGUGAGUUCUUCUUGAGUUUCUUAACAACUCUUCAGAAGGAAUCGAAGCCUUAAAUUGACGUUUUUACGUCGAAUUGGAGCUCGCCGUUUUCUGCAGUUUCUCGCCGGUUUCUGGAAAAUUCCGGCCACAUUCAUACUGUUCAAGGUGAUUGACGGUUUGAGUUGGCGGACGAUUGUGAAUCGUAUUUUGAGCUGUUAAGAAGACGCAGCGGGAUUAGAGCGGGUAAUCCUACAGGACAGGAGAACCAGGACGGUGAUCGUGCGGUUAGAGCAAUGGUUAUAGUUUUACAGCAAUUGUAAUAGUGAGGCUAGUUAAGCUCAUUUGAGCCUUACAAUUUGAUUUGGUGGGA